rnacentral:rRNA from 1 species
GACGAACGCUGGCGGCGUGCUUAACACAUGCAAGUCGAACGAUGAUGCUGGAGCUUGCUCCAGUUGAUUAGUGGCGAACGGGUGAGUAACACGUGAGCAAUCUGCCCUUGACUCUGGGAUAACUGCGGGAAACUGCAGCUAAUACCGGAUACUUUCACCGGAAGGCAUCUUCUGGUGAUGAAAGAAUUUCGGUCAGGGACGAGCUCGCGGCCUAUCAGCUUGUUGGUGAGGUAACGGCUCACCAAGGCGACGACGGGUAACCGGCCUGAGAGGGUGACCGGUCACACUGGGACUGAGACACGGCCCAGACUCCUACGGGAGGCAGCAGUGGGGAAUAUUGCACAAUGGGCGCAAGCCUGAUGCAGCAACGCCGCGUGAGGGAUGAAGGCCUUCGGGUUGUAAACCUCUUUUAGCAGGGAAGAAGCGAAAGUGACGGUACCUGCAGAAAAAGCACCGGCUAACUACGAGCCAGCCGCCGCGGUAA